rnacentral:rRNA from 1 species
UGGAGGCUGCGGUUCAAUUGGACUCAACGCCGGAAAACUCACCGGGAGCGACAGCUGGAUGAUAGCCGGGCUGAAGACUCUGCUUGACUAGCUGAGAGGAGGUGCAUGGCCGUCGUCAGUUCGUACUGUGAAGCAUCCUGUUAAGUCAGGCAACGAGUGAGACCCACGCCAACAGUUGCCAGCAUGUCCUCCGGGAUGAUGGGGACACUGUUGGGACCGCCUCUGCUAAAGAGGAGGAAGGAAUGGGCAACGGUAGGUCAGCAUGCCCCGAAUUAUCCGGGCUACACGCGGGCUACAAUGGUCAGGACAAUGGGUAUCGACACCGAGAGGUGGAGGCAAUCUCCUAAACCUGUCCUUAGUUCGGAUUGUGGGCUGCAACUCGCCCACAUGAAGCUGGAAUCCGUAGUAAUCGCGUUUCAAAAUAGCGCGGUGAAUAUGUCCCUGCUCCUU